AACAACACAAAGGAUCAUUGUUGGUCCGUCACACGUUGGAAUCUGGAGCUGCUGCUCCUCACCACCGGCAGGGUGAGGGCCUCCUGCUCCACGUCCUGCCGGCUGUGGGACAGGAUGAGCGCCAGAACCUCCACCGUCUUCCCCAGCCCCAUCUCAUCGGCCAGGAUCCCGCCGGGCCACUCCGUCCCGCUCAGCGGGAAUUCCCGGAUUAAACUGAAAGAACAGGACGGCGGGAACCUUCAGCAUCAACGUGAACGCCUUCAGAAACGGCGGUUAUUCCCUCCGUUCCAGCUGUGCUUUUUCUAAGCCCCGCCCAGCUGCUCCUCAUCACCUGCAUGAGGUGUGUUUGGGGCGUUUUUACUUUAUAAGAGCUCAAAGGUCCCUGUUUUCCUACAGAGCUCUUCUCCUGCUUCCUCGUGAACUUUACAUACUAGAUUGGGGGCGGAGCUCUUGUCUGGAACCUCCUCUUUUCGGUUUGUCUGUCUUUAGUCUGUAACCCGUCAGUGUUUUGUUGGUGGUCUUACCAGCCCGUAAAAGGAUUGUAAAACAACUUCUUUCCACACAAAGUGAGCAGCUCCCUCCAGAGGAAAUGCAGCGACGGAUCUGCAAACAGAGCGGAGGCCGCCGUUUGAGCGCCGGCGGGAAGAGGAGGAGCAGGGAGGAGGGGAUCUGGAGCAGCACGGUACCUUUAGGAGCACAGCUCCUGUGCUUCUCCCUCCUCAGCAUCCAGUUGACGGCCUGGCUCUGGUAGAGCCUCAGCACCGGGAUCAGAGCCUUGUGCUGCACGCCCCACGCCGCCUGCUGGCUCUCGCUCUGAUGCACGUGUCGGACGUAGUCGUAGAGCUCCUCCACGUUCUGCCUCUCCAGGAGCUGGUUGGCCUUUUUCAGACGAGCGCUGCCCUCACUGAGGAACUGGGGCUGUCCCAGGCCGGAUUCCAACAGGUAGAUCCCCACCUGUGGGGCAGAAGUGGUUCACGUCUGCUUCAGUGAAGAACUUCAACAAAACAACAUUUGAUGAAAAUUGUGUUUUUUAAACGUUUUCUUGAUUUUUCUGAUGAUGGAGGACAAAUAAGAAUAAAAUAAAAACUGCAUUUCUGAGUCUAAACCUUGAUUCAAUAUUUGAAAAAGAUCAUCUUUGUGAUGUAGGCGCUGUAGGAUCAGAAAGGGGCGGGGCAGGAGGACUAUAGCCCCGCCCCUUUAUGAUCCUCCACCUCCAGACCAAUAGAACGUCUGAGCUGGAAUCUGGAUCAGAACCGGACGGAUGGAUGGAUGUUGAUCGCUGUUUUUGUUGCACCGCUAACGUUGGGUUGUGAGGGGCUGUAAGCUAGUGGGAGGGCUCUCAGUUAUGGGAAGAGGGGGCGGGGUUGCUCUGCGCCAGCAGUCAGACUCAGAGGUGAGUUUCUGAUGGACUCCUGCCGCUCUGCAGACACUAUGUCCUAGAAAACCACCACACAGGUUUUUGAACUUCUGGCUAAAAACGACAUCGUCUCCAUGAAACGAUCACUGGGAACACGUUACGAUAGAUCAGAGGAUGAUCGGAACUUUAGAAACGUCCUAAAAGAUUAUUUUCUGCCGCAUUUAGAGAUAAUAAAUAAUCGAUCUGUAAAUGAGUAAGCAGCAGAUAGAAGGGCUAAGGUCUGAGGACCCGUGCUAACGUGUGCUAAUCUAUGCUAACUGAAGAUCAGACCCUGACCCCUCCUGCAGGAGAAAAGCUCCUAACGUGAAGCGACUUCACUAAACAGGAUCCUCUCACAGAUCCGACUGAAACGCUGAGUCAUCACAGAACCAGGAAGUGACGGGUCCACCUUGAACGCCGGAGCGUCCGCCUGGUGGAGCAGCUGCACCGCGCGCCUCCUCUGCAGCCAGUCCAGCUCCUCCAGGGAGACCCCGCUGAGGCCGGCCUCCGAGGGGCAGCUGUCCCCCCCCCGGGCUCCACGGCUGCUCCUCGGUGCUGUAGCUGAGGCAGAGCUGCCCCCCUGUCCGGCGCAGCGUGAACGCCGUCUGCUCCCAGUCGGGUGGGGGCCGAGCCGGCCGCACUCGGAACUCCCCAAGGAGAGCCUUCCAGACGUGGGCGAGCCUCGGAGCCGGCAGGACAGACAGCGCCAAGGAGGCGGAGCAAGGGCCGCCGUCCGCAGACGGGCCGGGACGCUGGUCUGAAACCCGGAGGGGGGGCGCGCAGAAAGCCUCUACACCGCUGGGGAAGGAACUGCUGGCACAAGGGUCCCCGAAAGGCCGGGAGCAGGAUGGGGUCUGCUCCUCUUCCACCUCCUUCCUGCGGUCCUCCAACAUGUCCCAGUCCAGCCCCCGUUUAGCCUCCUCGUCCACCCUCACGGGGGGGGCCCUCUUCCGGCGGCUGCUCAUGCUGAAGACCUAAACACAGACGAGAAGAGGACAACGUGUGUGGGACGGAGAGACGUUUGGUUCUGGUCCACGACCCCACGGCAGCUGACCUUCUGAAACGUUUAACCAGAACCGUCAGAACCGAGACGUGGACCUGAUUGGUCGGGACGAGUCCCUCAGAGGACGCCGCUCAGCUCCCCGUGUUUCAAACAUAAACUCUGACCUGAGGCCUCCA
ensembl:lncRNA